GCCCUUCUGCACAAACACACAUUUUCUGCUUUGUUAUUGCCUUUUGCUUUUUAGCUUAGAUAAGUCGGUAUAUAACUUCGUCGUUUCCAUUGAUCAAUUUGUCGGAAGGUUGUGCUGUAUUUGUGUGCUUCGCAUGCGUUCGCCUGUUUUUCGUGUACGACCGAGAGCGUUUCUGGCGCUCCGUCAAGCUCGCUCUCCCGCUGUGUGAACAGCGCUGUUGGCUGUAUACGUUAUUGAGUCCUGGGCCGAGUCUCGCGUCAUGUCGCGAAAGUCAAACUACUUUCGUAAGUGAUCGCCCCAGAAUGACCGCCUACUUUUGCAAAACAACAACAGAAAGAUAAAGGCAUAUUCAUAAUGGCGGGCACAAGCGAGCGUCGUUGUCCUUUUUCGUGUAAUAGAUUGCAUCUGACACAAUCAUAUGCGAGGGCAAUGCCUCCUUUACUAGAUGCCUGCCGCGUCGCUAGUCUUCCCAUUGGAGCGGAGGUUCCGUAGUUCAGGGUAGUUGCAGAGAGACGGCGCUCGCAGCCGACGCACUUCCUGUUGCGGAGGAAAUGACGAUUACUAGGCUGGCGCGUGCUCGACCAAUCGCUUGACGAGAGAUUGUGAGUCCUGCCUCCGGGAUUGUAACAGACGCCGCUAAAAUCUCGGAGGCUGGGCUACAUGAUUUCGGUUUCCAGCGGCCACCGCAGCUAGCGCUCGCAGCCGACCCGGGUUAACCCGGGUGGGGAAGAGCAAAGAGGAGAGGGGCAGGAACCAGCUUCUCGGGUCACGCGGCAGGCAUCUAGUAAAGGAGGCAUUGGCGAGGGAAACGCCAAUAGAAGCGUCCAUGUCUUUCUCUCCCGCGCAAAAAAGCGACCAAUGUCAUAUCGAGAUAUAAUUCUUGGAGUACUUAAGACUGUUGAUAAAUUGCAAUUUGCGAUAGAUCAUGGCGGCCUUUGACGGAGUCCAGAAUGGAACUAUAAAGGCUUCGCGUCCCCAUCUCCACAACCAUGCUUCUGACAUACGCGUGCUGUGCUUUCUUUUUUUCUGUUUCGAUGGUGCCUUGAACGAACGGUACGAGAUCUACCUGGUCGUGUCGGGAACCCAUCUUUCAAGCAAAGGCGAUGCUGGCCUUUUGAGCAUCGUCACCAUGGCCUGCGUGGGAAGAGGUACAGUGCCCGACUAUACUUGCCAUACCAGCAAGUUCAAGAGGCCUGGUGUCUUGGAACCCACCCUAUAAACCUGAACCGGUGGCCAGCUGUUGUAGAGGACUGGUGACUUGCCCGCCCUGUGAACCUGAUAGCCAGCAGUUCUUACGUAUUUGUAUCCUGCUCCCUGCCUUGUGGACCUGGCGGUGAGUUCAUGCCCGACUCUGUGGACCUGGUGGCCACCUCAAGCGGUCUGUCUUGCUACACACCCUGCACAUCUGCACGGCGGGCCUGGCGGCCAGCGUUUCUACACGCAUGGUGACUUGCCCGCCCUGCGGUCCUGGUGGCGAGCAGUGCUUGCUUACUUGUAUUUUGCUACCGGCCCUGUGGAGCUGGUGGCCACCAUAAGCGGCCUGGUGUUUUGCUAAGGACCCUGCAGGCCUAGUUACCACCUGUUCUCUUUCGCUCUGGGGUACUGUUUUCCGUGCAGCA